AGUGAACGCUGGCGGUAGGCCUAACACAUGCAAGUCGAACGGCAGCACAGUAAGAGCUUGCUCUUACGGGUGGCGAGUGGCGGACGGGUUAGGAAUACAUCGGAAUCUACUUUUUCGUGGGGGAUAACGUAGGGAAACUUACGCUAAUACCGCAUACGACCUACGGGUGAAAGCAGGGGAUCUUCGGACCUUGCGCGAUUGAAUGAGCCGAUGUCGGAUUAGCUAGUUGGCGGGGUAAAGGCCCACCAAGGCGACGAUCCGUAGCUGGUCUGAGAGGAUGAUCAGCCACACUGGAACUGAGACACGGUACAGACUCCUACGGGAGGCAGCAGUGGGGAAUAUUGAACAAUGGGCGCAAGCCUGAUCCAGCCAUACCGCGUGGGUGAAGAAGGCCUUCGGGUUGUAAAGCCCUUUUGUUGGGAAAGAAAAGCAGCAGGUUAAUACCCCGCUGUUCUGACGGUACCAAAAGAAUAAGCACCGGCUAACUUCGUG
rnacentral:rRNA from 1 species